rnacentral:rRNA from 1 species
GCGGGAAAAGCUCAAAUUUAAAAUCUGGCGGCCUUUGGCCAUCCGAGUUGUAAUUUAGAGAAGCGUCUUCCGCGCUGGACCGUGCACAAGUCUCCUGGAAUGGAGCGUCAUANAGGGUGAGAAUCCCGUCUUUGGCACGGAUGCCCGGUGCUUCUGUGAUGCGCUCUCGAAGAGUCGAGUUGUUUGGGAAUGCAGCUCANAAUGGGUGGUGAACUCCAUCUAAAGCUAAAUAUUGGCGAGAGACCGAUAGCGAACAAGUACCGUGAGGGAAAGAUGAAAAGCACUUUGGAAAGAGAGUGAAACAGUACNUGAAAUUGUUGAAAGGGAAACGCUUGAAGUCWGUCGCGUCGAUCGAGACUCARCCUUGCCUUGGCUUGGUGUACUUCUCGGCUCGACGGGUCAGCAUCAAUUUCGUCCCUCGGAUAAUGGCAGGGGAAAGGUGGCACCUUUACGGGUGUGUUAUAGUCUCUUGUCRCAUGCGAGGGGUGGGAUUGAGGAACUCAGCACGCACCUUGGUGUCGGGGCUUUUGCCCACGUCACGUGCUUAGGAUGCUGGCGUAAUGGGCUUUAAACGACCCGUCUUGA